rnacentral:sRNA from 2 species
CGCUGCAGUCUGCUGAAUCCCGUCCGGGUGGACGGGAACGGGGGACCCGAUUCCAAGGGGCGUAUCACCGGGAAACCGGCGUAGGGCAAUCUCUUCGGCCCGAGCCCGACAGCUAACCUCGUAGGCAUCGAAGGGAAAGCGC